rnacentral:rRNA from 1 species
GACGAAGGUGGCGAGCGUUGUUCGGAAUCACUGGGCUUAAAGAGCACGUAGGCGGCCCGUCAAGCGUCAUGUGAAAUCCCUCGGCCCAACCGAGGAACUGCAAGGCGAACUGACGGGCUUGAGGCAGGUAGGGGCGAGUGGAACUCUUGGUGGAGCGGUGGAAUGCGUAGAUAUCAAGAGGAACGCCAGAGGCGAAGGCGACUCGCUGGGCCUGUCCUGACGCUGAGGUGCGAAAGCCAGGGGAGCGAACGGGAUUAGAUACCCCCGUA